AGUCAUAUGCUCGUCUCAAAGAUUAAGCCAUGCAUGUCUGAGUACAGACCGAUCUAAGGUGAAACCGCGAAUGGCUCAUUAAAUCAGUCGUAAUUUCUUGGAUAGUGAAAAACUUUCCUCGGAUAACUGUGGAAAAUCCAGAGCUAAUACGUGCAACUGAGCUCCGACCUCGGCGCGAGCCUUGGGAAGAGCGCAUUUAUUAGAUUCAAAACUGACCGGGGUACUCCUUCGGGAUACGCCGAUUGUCAAAUGUUUGAUGACUCCGGAUAACUUAGCCGAGCGCUACGGUCUUUAGUACCGGCGCCGUAUCUUUCAAGUGUCUGCCUUAUCAGCUUUCGAUUGUAGGUUAAACGCCUACAAUGGCUGUAACGGGUAACGGGGAAUCAGGGUUCGAUUCCGGAGAGGGAGCCUGAGAAACGGCUACCACAUCUAAGGAAGGCAGCAGGCACGCAAAUUACCCACUCCCAGCCCGGGGAGGUAGUGACGAAAAAUAACGAUGCGAGACUCUUCCGAGGCCUCGCAAUCGGAAUGAGUCCAUCUUAAAUCUUUGGACGAGGAUCCAUUGGAGGGCAAGUCUGGUGCCAGCAGCCGCGGUAAUUCCAGCUCCAAUAGCGUAUAUUAAAGUUGCUGCGGUUAAAAAGCUCGUAGUUGGACUUUCUAGAUCCAUUUCGUGGGUGAGUCGCUAGUCGGUCUAGUGUUUCGCGCAAGUUGUUAGAUGACGUUGCGUCGCGGCGCGCGUUUCUCUACGUUCGCUCCGUUGCGCGGCUCUGUCGGUCCUUUGAUCGGUAGUAGUCGCUUUCGGUCGCGUUACGCUAGGGGCCGCCGUCGUUUCGUUUUACGGAAUCUCUCGGACUGCGGAACGCUGCCUUCCGGUAUAGCUCGUCCGCGUUUGGUACAAUUAAAAUUUUGUCGGCUCGCUCGGAGUGCUCUUUACCGAGUGUUCCAGGGUGGCCGACACGUUCACUUUGAAAAAAUUAGAGUGCUUAAAGCGGGCUUAUACACGGCCUGAAUGUCUGUGCAUGGAAUGAAGUAACAGGACCUCGAUUCUGUUCUUUUUGUCGGUUUUAAUGAACCGAGGUAAUGAUUAAAAGGGACAGACGGUGGCAUUAGUAUUGCGACGCUAGAGGUGAAAUUCUUGGACCGUCGCAAGACUAACUACUGCGAAAGCAUUUGCCGAGAAUGUUUUCAUUAAUCAAGAACGAAAGUUAGAGGAUCGAAGGCGAUCAGAUACCGCCCUAGUUCUAACCCUAAACUAUGCUAACUAGCGAUCCGCCGAAGUCAUUCCCACGACUCGGCGGGAAGCCCCAGGGAAACCAAAGUCUUUGAGUUCCGGGGGAAGUAUGGUUGCAAAGCUGAAACUUAAAGGAAUUGACGGAAGGGCACCACCAGGAGUGGAGCCUGCGGCUUAAUUUGACUCAACACGGGAAACCUCACCAGGCCCGGACAUCAUAAGGAUUGACAGAUUGAGAGCUCUUUCUCGAUUUGAUGGGUGGUGGUGCAUGGCCGUUCUUAGUUGGUGGAGUGAUCUGUCUGGUUGAUUCCGAUAACGAACGAGACUCUACCCUACUAACUAGUCGGCGGAUCGUAACCCUGAGAUGGUUAGUUUGUAUAGGGGAGUUUCGCCUAGGCAAAGUUCUCGAUGACGGGUCUUCUUCGUCGCGCGUGUGUCCGCUAUUUGCGUAGUGAUGCUCGUGUGUGCGGAGGAGCUUCCCUGUCGAGUUACGAUGUUGAAGCUGCUCUCUGAUUACUACUACUGCUGGGGGCGUCCGUCGCAAUGUAUCUUCUUAGAGGGAUCAGCGGCGUCUAGCCGCACGAGAAAGAGCAAUAACAGGUCUGUGAUGCCCUUAGAUGUUCUGGGCCGCACGCGCGCUACAAUGUAGGGCUCAGUGUGCUUUCCCUCUCCGAAAGGAGCGGGUAACCCGUUGAAACCCCUACCCGAUUGGGAUUGGGGAUUGCAAAUAUUUCCCAUAAACGAGGAAUUCCCAGUAAGCGCGAAUCAUUAAUUCGCACUGAUUACGUCCCUGCCCUUUGUACACACCGCCCGUCGCUACUACCGAUUGAAUGAUUCAGUGAGGGCAUCGGACUGGCGCCUUCGGUUUAGUAACAUAGACCUUAGGCUGACGGAAAGA
rnacentral:rRNA from 1 species